UGCAGCGAUCGGUUAGCUGCUCAGAUAGCUGAUGUUUGAAGUUGGUGAGGGAGAUAAAAGUCUCCAACAUCAGCGAUUUUUGCAAUUUGUUCCAGUCACAGGCAGCAUGGGUGUUGCCAUCGUGACCAGUGAACUGAGAUAAGGCGGAGCUUUACCUAGCAUGGCCUUGUAGAUGACCUGGAGCCAGUGGUUCUGGCGACGAAUAUGUAGCGAGGGCCAGCCGACUAGAGCAUACAAGUCGCAGUGGUGGGUAGUAUAAGGUGCUUUAGUGACAAAACGGAUGGCACUGUGAUAAACUGCAUCCAGUUAGCUGAGUAGAGUGUUGGAAGCAAUUUUGUCGAUGACAUCGCCGAAGUCGAGGAUCGGUAGGAUAGUCAGUUUUACUAGGGUAAGCUUGGCAGCGUGAGUGAAGGAGGCUUUGUUGCGGAAUAGAAAGCCGACUCUUGAUUUGAUUUUCGAUUGGAGAUGUUUGAUAUGAGUCUGGAAGGAGAGUUUGCAGUCGAGCCAGACACCUCGGUACUUAUAGGUGUCCACAUAUUCAAGGUCGGAACCAUCCAGUGUGGUGAUGCUAGUCGGGCAUGCGGCUGCGGUAUAAUGCUGAAUGAACACAAACAAUGGUAAAAAACAACCCAGUUUAUUUGAUAUAUUUGUAUCUACCAUAACAAUUGAUCCCUGCAGCAUGUCUGUCUGCCAGAAUCACAUGUUCAAAGACAAUCUUUCAAUUACAGCAAGACAUACUGAAUUUGAAAAGCUUCCCCUUAAGAAAACAAUCAGAUCAGUUUCUAGAGGUCAAAAGACUAUCUGACCAGCAGAGUUCAGGGACAUGGUUCAAUACCCCAGAGUUCCCUUAGUUCCCUGGUGAUGAUUCCCUGUUUGUGUCAUUUAGAGAGUGAAAACCUGGCCUCUGCUCUUAAUCCAGCGUGUAGGAUGAUGAGCAUGGGGUAAAAUAUAUAUUCCACACAUCUAAUCCCACUUGGAAUGAGUAGCUGUGCGAUCAGCCCGGAUGAACUCCAGAUAACGGGACCGCAAAUUGGAAAUGAUACGCAUCGUUAGCUAGCGGAACGUUUCAUAUCCACACUUCAGGAGCCGAUCAAAGGAGGUUAAUUGAAAAUUUCGUUCCGUUUUUCUUUUCCCCCUGCUGUUCCACUGUAAAGCUGAUGUGGUGCUGAAAAGAAGAUGUUAGAUCUACAUGUAUAGCAUCAGCCUGUUGGCUAUGUGUGACUGCAGAGUGAUGAAGACCAGGCUGUAAGAAGCAUAACAACUACAGUGUUAGGUAGAGGCCGUACAGGUUAGACAGUGUGUUAGGUAGAGGCUGUACAGGUUAGACAGUGUGUUAGGUUGAGGCUGUACAGGUUAGACAGUGUGUUAGGUAGAGGCUGUACAGGUUAGACAGUGUGUUAGGUAGAGGCUGUACAGGUUAGACAGUGUGUUAGGUAGAGGCUGUACAGGUUAGACAGUGUGUUAGAGAGAGGCUGUACAGGUUAGACAGUGUGUUAGGUAGAGCUGUACAGGUUAGACAGUGUGUUAGGUAGAGGCUGUACAGGUUAGACAGAGUGUUAGGUAGAGGAGGUACAGGUUAGACAGUGUGUUAGAGAGAGGCUGUACAGGUUAGACAGUGUGUUAGGUAGAGGCUAUACAGGUUAGACAGUGUGUUAGGUAGAGCUGUACAGGUUAGACAGUGUGUUAGGUAGAGGCUGUACAGGUUAGACAGUGUGUUAGGUAGAGGAGGUACAGGUUAGACAGUGUGUUAGGUAGAGGCUGUACAGGUUAGACAGAGUGUUAGGUAGAGGAGGUACAGGUUAGACAGUGUGUUAGAGAGAGGCUGUACAGGUUAGACAGUGUGUUAGGUAGAGGCUAUACAGGUUAGACAGUGUGUUAGGUAGAGCUGUACAGGUUAGACAGUGUGUUAGGUAGAGGCUGUACAGGUUAGACAGUGUGUUAUAGGUAGAGGAGAUACAGGUUAGACAGUGUGUUAGGUAGAGGCUCUUCAGGUUAGACAGUGUGUUAGGUAGAGGCUGUACAGGUUAGACAGUGUGUUAGGUCGAGCUGUAAAGGUUAGACAGCGUGUUAGGUAGAGGCUGUACAGGUUAGACAGUGUGUUAGAGAGAGGCUGUACAUGUUAGACAGUGUGUUGGGUAGAGGGUGUACAGGUUAGACAGUGUGUUAGGUAGAGCUGUACAGGUCAGACAGUGAGUUAGGUAGAACUGUACAGGUUAGACAGUGUGUUAGGUAGAGCUGUACAGGUUAGACAGUGUGUUAGGUAGAGCUGCUCAGGUUAGACAGUGUGUUAGGUAGAGGCUGUACAGGUUAGACAGUGUGUUAGGUAGAGGCUGUACAGGUUAGACAGUGUGUUAGGUAGAGCUGUAUAGGUUAGACAGUGUGUUAGGUAGAGGCUGUAUAGGUUAGAUAGUGUGUUAGGUAGAGCUGUACAGGUUAGACAGUGUGUUAGGUAG